CAGAGCGUAGCGUAGCAGUUAACGCGCUCGGUUUGGAACCGAGGGAUCGCAGGUGCAAGUCCUGCCGCUCUGACCA
rnacentral:tRNA from 1 species